rnacentral:rRNA from 1 species
GACGAACGCUGGCGGCGUGCUUAACACAUGCAAGUCGAGCGGAAAGGCUCCUUCGGGGGUACUCGAGCGGCGAACGGGUGAGUAACACGUGAGUAAUCUGCCCUGCGCUCUGGGAUAGCCACCGGAAACGGUGAUUAAUACCGGAUAUGACCGCUACACGCAUGUGUUGGUGGUGGAAAGUUUUUCGGCGCAGGAUGUGCUCGCGGCCUAUCAGCUUGUUGGUGAGGUAAUGGCUCACCAAGGCUUUGACGGGUAGCCGGCCUGAGAGGGUGACCGGUCACACUGGGACUGAGACACUGCCCAGACUCCUACGGGAGGCAGCAGUGGGGAAUAUUGGACAAUGGGCGGAAGCCUGAUCCAGCAACGCCGCGUGAGGGAUGACGGCCUUCGGGUUGUAAACCUCUUUCAGUACCGACGAAGCGAAAGUGACGGUAGGUACAGAAGAAGGACCGGCCAACUACGUGCCAGCAGCCGCGGUAAUAC